rnacentral:tRNA from 1 species
CUCGCGAUAGCUCAGUUGGUAGAGCGGAGGACUGUAGUACAGUAAUAUAGAAUUGGUAUCCUUAGGUCGAUGGUUCGAAUCCGUCUCGCGAGA